CUGUUUCUUUCAGUUGAACCAACCUUUUUCUGGACUCCCUCCUUCCCCGAGGACGGCGCCCCGGAUGCCUCUCGCUUGCGGCGAGGAGGAACACGAUGGCAUGGCCAAUGCCGCCUUUGGCCCCGGUGACCACGACCCAGGCGCCAUCGUGGCGGUGCAGGGGCUUGCCCGGGCGGAGGAACGCGUCGUAGACCCAGGGCGUGAGGCUGAUGUCGGCCCGGACAACAACAAGGAGGCCUACCACCGUGAGUGCCAGCACCCAAGUUGGCUGCGCCUUCACAAACUUGACAUGGCCGAAACUGGGGCAAGGUACGAUUUCAUCCACUUCUGUUUUUUCUUUCCAGUGCAUGUAAUAUGUUUGACAAAAUGCCUCAGCCAUGUUACCCUUACGGUACAGGAGGUUUAGCUUGAGAUUGUCCACGCACCCUCGAGGUGUGACCCGAACCCCCCCAUGAUUCCCGUGCGAAAUGCUGGCCUGAUCUGAAUCGGGAUGCUUUCUUUUGUUGUUAGGCACUGGCACUGCAUUUACAGGAUCCUCUCCCCACUCCAUGAUGAGAGUGCACAGAGCUUCCUCCAAACAUUCACUGCAGACUAAAUUUUAAGGAAUCAUUGCUGAUGUGAUAAUCAAACAACCAAAUGAAACACGAAUUGAACAAUAAAUUUGUUUGUUGAUUGUCUACAAUUCAGGUUUGACAAAUAUGCCUGUCUUGCAUUGUUACUUCUAUCCUCUUUUCUGAAGCUUCACUUGUCUGUAUACACUGUGGUUGCAAUUGAAUCACAGCAGGAAAAAAGAGCAUAACCACUAGCACACUCUUGUGCCGAUAGGACGACAGUUCAUAUGCAAUCUGUUUUUUUUAAAAAAAAAAAAGCAAGAUUGGCAGCUUUUUUGGCAAAAAAUUCUACAAUGAUAGAAAUGACAUUUUUCCGUAGUACUCCAUUGUAAUACUCAGUUUUCUUCUCCUCGGUUACCGAUUUCAAUGGACAAUUUGUAGUUACAUAGUUUCGCUUUGACAUGCAAUUUGUGGCUACCUAGCGCUAUUACACCACCUGCUGCUGUCAUUUCAAUCUUUUCCGAAGAAUUAAUGUGGAUCUCCUGAACCAGCCUUCAGAAGAGGGCAUCCUAUGGUGUUAUCUAAUGAAAUGCAAUCACAGAGAGUGCUGAUGCAUCCAGUCAAGAGAGGCUGGUAAAGGAGUACUGGUGAUUCAAAUGCGUCUAAAACAAAGAGAUCCAGUUUGCCGCUUCCAGUUUUGCCCGUCUUCAGUAAAUCUCACCUAGCCGCUGCGUUGUCGCCUGGGGCAUUCGAGACACGAAGAGAUCGCGAAAACACCAUACGCACGUCGACUAGCUACUGGUAAUUCGUCACCCUUGCGGCCUCUUGGGUCUGCCCAGUGGAUGAAUAAAAAAUAGACAGCCCAACGGAGUCAAUGCUUCAUUUUACCAUGAAGAUACCCAAUGACACUAAUUUGAUUCUUUAUAGAUAAUCAAAUUUGGUUGGCCUCAAAAAGGUCCAUAUCUAAGUAGAGGCUGCUACAUUCAUUUUUAUUACCACGGAAUCGAUGGACUGGUUUAUGAAAUUCAGAAAGAUUUGUCCUAUUG